AUGCUAGUCAUCUCGGUGAUGCACUUAACAGAUUAAGUGAACCGCCUGGGGAGUACGGUCGCAAGAUUAAAACUCAAAGGAAUAGACGGGGACCCGCACAAGUGGUGGAGCAUGUGGUUUAAUUCGAAGAUACGCGAAGAACCUUACCUAGCCUUGACAUUGAAAGAAUUUAGCAGAGAUGUAAAAGUGCUAGUUUACUAGAGCUUUCAUACAGGUGCUGCACGGCUGUCGUCAGCUCGUGUCGUGAGAUGUUAGGUUAAGUCCUGCAACGAGCGCAACCCUCGUGUUUAGUUACUAACAGUUCGGCUGAGGACUCUAGACAUACUGCCUGGGCAACCAGGAGGAAGGUGAGGACGACGUCAAGUCAUCAUGGCCCUUACGGCCAGGGCUACACACGUGCUACAAUGGGGUAUACAAAGAGCCGCAAUACCGCGAGGUGGAGCAAAUCUCAUAAAAUAUCUCCCAGUUCGGAUUACACUCUGCAACUCGAGUGUAUGAAGUUGGAAUCGCUAGUAAUCGUAGAUCAGCAAUGCUACGGUGAAUACGUUCCCGGGUCUUGUACUCACCGCCCGUCACACCAUGGGAGUUGAAUUCAUUCGAAGCGGGGAUGCUAAAAUAGCUACCUUCCACAGUGGAUUUAGUAACUAGGGUGAAGUCGUAACAAGGUAACC
rnacentral:rRNA from 1 species